rnacentral:rRNA from 1 species
UACAGAGGUCUCAAGCGUUGUUCGGAUUCAUUGGGCGUAAAGGGUGCGUAGGCGGCGCGGUAAGUCGGGUGUGAAAUCUCGGAGCUUAACUCCGAAACUGCAUUCGAUACUGCCGUGCUUGAGGACUGGAGAGGAGACGUGGAAUUUACGGUGUAGCGGUGAAAUGCGUAGAUAUCGUAAGGAAGACCAGUGGCGGAAGGCGG